GUCUAGAGAACAAUUUCGAUCGGGAUCGGGUCAAUCAUGACUACCUUUGGUAAUCUUGCUAAUGUUAAAAUCCCAAGGCAUCUUCAAUUUACAUAUUUGUCGCAUGCACAAAGAGUGCUAAGAUAUUACAAAAAGCAUUGUCGGCACAUUGAAUGGUGCGCGUUUACUCGGUAAGUUUCAGAUAUAGUAAAAAUGCUUACUGGUGUUGUCGUGUAACGUUAUGUGCGCACGUAAUGACAUUGAACUAGGUCAAAGUCGACAUUUUUUUUGUCCAGUGGGUUAGCGAGAGUAAACUUAUAAAUUGUAAUUGGUGUAUACAUCGGGAUAUCUAAGAUAUAUUAGGUUAUUCAGUCCUGCAUUGGUUGACUUACAGAGUACCACACAAUUCGCCCCACUACCAUCUCGCCCCUGUCAUACAAGAUUUUUUGACAUCUUUGAGUAUCUUGGGCCUUCUUUUAAUUACUACAAGUAUUGACACAUUCCUAUUUGAUUGGAAAAAAUGCUCUAAAAUUGAUGUAAAACAAAAAUCAUGAUCAGUGUUAAUAGUGUGGAAUAAGGUGAAAUGUUUGUUAAUGUCCUACUAUUCUAACGUAAGACCAGUUCAUGCCGACUACCAUUCUGCACCAGUGCAUUGUUACAUUAUUUUAUCAACACAUAAAAUUAUAUAUGAAAAAUGUGAAUUACCAAUGUACUGGCAAGAAAUGAUACUCAUCGAAAACUCACUCAGGUCCCACGCCAGUAGUCUGUCCUGAGAUAUUUAUGCAGCUCAUUUGGACGAUUUUUAACAAGACCACACACACCUGUGAGAGAAGUGCAAUUGAAAUCAAUUAAAGGGAUAAUAUUCAACAUAUCUUCAUUGACACAUUAUCAUUUUUCGCUCAGGAAAGUUCACAGGAAUGAAAACUGAUUUCUUAUGGAGAUUUAUAAUGAGAAAUGUUUAAAUCUUUUCUCCAUUCAUAGUUACUCAUAAUAUCUUGCAAAAUUUUUCAACGUUAUCAUUCUGGUACUUACAUCUCUUUAGCAAUAGAAAAUCCUGGUAGACUUUUUAUUUUUAGAUGGGUAUUGAAACCUGAUGAGAUAGAGGGGGCUUUCCAAAGGUGAAAUCUUUGGAUAUUUUUUAAUACUAUUGAAUGAACAUCUGAUUUGAACCCAGAGGUAUUUAUCAAUAUAGAAUAAUUUAAGAAAAUGUGCGGCAUAAAUAUCUUGGGACAGACUUUAAGAAAUGAGGUGGAAAGCAUUGCAGGAAUGUGAUUUUGAAGAAAAAAAAGAAAAAGAAAUAUGUGAAAAAUGAAUUCUGAAAAUCAACCUGGCAGAGAAUGAAAUGAGGGAAACUGGGGUAUGUUAGGAGAGAUAUUCCUUGUAGAACAUCAACAAACUGGGGUAUGUUAGGAGGGAUAUUCUUUAUAGUACAUCAACAAUUUGAAUAUGAAAUGAUAACAAAACCCACUUAGUUUCAUUCAUUUCAGAUGAAAGAGUAAUUUUGUGUGAGGUGAUGCAUUUUCCCUUAAAUUAAAACUUAUGGCAGUGGACCAAAUUUAUUAAAGCUAAUUAUACCCGUACUUUCUAAAGAAAGUUCGGGUAUAUUGUUGUUACCCUGUUCCGUCCUUCCGUCUGUCCAUCUGUCACGUUUUACUUUCUCAAACUGCUCUUACAUCUUAUAAACCCGGAAACUGAACUCUUGGAGUUUGAUUUGGGAUGUCUGGUUGUUUUGUAAAAAGGUUUCAAAAAUUCUCUGGUAGUCCUGGGGGUCAAAUAGUUGGUUAAAAUGAUGUUUCUUCACAAAAAAUCUUCUUCCUCGAACUCCUCCUACAUUUUCAACAGUAACAAAUCAUCUCUUGGAAUAUGUUUUAGGGUAUCCUAUAGAUGCGCAAUAAGGUUUCGGAAUUUUUGUCCCCUGCCGCAACGCGGAGCGGGGACACAGAAAUGCCGGGCGUGUGUCCGUGCGUCUGUGUGUCCGUGCGUCACAUUUCUUUGUAAGCGCUCUCAUGCCUACAUAUUUUGACGGAUUUUCAUUAAAUUUAUACCAAAUGUUUAUACCACUAUUACCUUGGUCAAGUUCGAAAAUCAGCAUUGGUUGAUACUUUUUGUUGGAGUUAUGGGACUUUAUGACCUUGUACUAGGGUGCACAGCUAGAUAUGCAGGCCUAUUGUAUCCUAUAGUUUUGUACAAUUCUGUUUAGCCAUCUCUGAGAAACAGGUUCAGAGCGGGAAAGA
rnacentral:misc_RNA from 1 species